UACGAAGGGGGCUAGCGUUGUUCGGAGUUACUGGGCGUAAAGGGCUCGUAGGCGGCCAACUAAGUCAGACGUGAAAUCCCUCGGCUUAACCGGGGAACUGCGUCUGAUACUGGAUGGCUUGAGAUUGGGAGAGGGAUGCGGAAUUCCAGGUGUAGCGGUGAAAUGCGUAGAUAUCUGGAGGAACACCGGUGGCGAAGGCGGCAUCCUGGACCAAUACUGACGCUGAGGAGCGAAAGCCAGGGGAGCAAACGGG
rnacentral:rRNA from 1 species